GAUGAACGCUGGCGGCGUGCCUAAUACAUGCAAGUCGAGCGAACAGAUGAGGAGCUUGCUCCUCUGACGUUAGCGGCGGACGGGUGAGUAACACGUGGAUAACCUACCUAUAAGACUGGGAUAACUUCGGGAAACCGGAGCUAAUACCGGAUAAUAUAUUGAACCGCAUGGUUCAAUAGUGAAAGACGGUUUUGCUGUCACUUAUAGAUGGAUCCGCGCCGCAUUAGCUAGUUGGUAAGGUAACGGCUUACCAAGGCGACGAUGCGUAGCCGACCUGAGAGGGGAUCCGCCACCCUGGAACCGAGACACCGGCCAGACUCCUACGGGAGGCAGCAGUAGGGAAUCUUCCGCAAUGGGCGAAAGCCUGACGGAGCAACGCCGCGUGAGUGAUGAAGGUCUUCGGAUCGUAAAACUCUGUUAUUAGGGAAGAACAAAUGUGUAAGUAACUAUGCACGUCUUGACGGUACCUAAUCAGAAAGCCACGGCUAACUACGUG
rnacentral:rRNA from 1 species